rnacentral:tRNA from 1 species
UGGGGUAUGGCCAAGCGGUAAGGCACCGGAUUCUGAUUCCGGCAUUCCGAGGUUCGAAUCCUCGUACCCCAGCCA